UACGGAGGGUGCAAACGUUGCUCGGAAUCAUUGGGCGUAAAGCGCACGUAGGCGGCCUGUUAAGUCGGGUGUGAAGGCCCUCGGCUCAACCGAGGAAGUGCAUUCGAAACUGGCAGGCUUGAGUAUGGAAGAGGGUCGCGGAAUUCCCGGUGUAGAGGUGAAAUUCGUAGAUAUCGGGAGGAACACCGGUGGCGAAGGCGGCGACCUGGGCCAACACUGACGCUGAGGUGCGAAAGCGUGGGGAGCAAACAGG
rnacentral:rRNA from 1 species